rnacentral:lncRNA from 1 species
GUCACUGUUACCGAAUUUGCCCAUUGCCCGGCCUCUUCUCCUCCUCCUCACUUCCGCUCCCUCGCAGAUCUGUUUCCGGGGCGUUGCAAGUUCGGCCCCUCCUCAGCUCUCACCCUCCUCUGCCCCAGGAGGGGGGAGCCGAGGGGGUGGGGAAGAGUUCGUUGUUUGUUUACACGAUGUGAGCGGAAAGAGAGACCAAUAAAGUUUAUUCUGGAAACAAAAGGAAAAAGAGCCCGGGCGCCGGCCAGCGGAGCCGGGGGUGGGGGCGUGCGGCGGGGCCGGCGCCGAGCGGAGCGAGCAGUCGAGCGAGCGGCAGUUCCGGUGCCGCGGCGGCCGAGGCUGGGGCUGGGGCGGCCGGCGAGGCAGCGCUCGGGCCCGGCCGGGCCGCUCCGCAGCGGCGGGGGAGAGGGCCCGGGAGGCGGGCGCGCGCCGCCCGCUGUCCUCUCCCUCGGCGCCGCCGCCGCCGCCGCCCGCGGGGCCGGGACCCGAUGCGGCGGGAGCCGCGCAGCCUGGAGGAGCCGGAGCGCUUCCCUCAGAAUCAUUGUCCAUCAAAUACCACUUAACGGCCACGAGUUGUGUAACCGUUUCAAGACUGAAACAGUCCAUCCUGAAGGGAAGCUCCUUAAACAGGAAGGUAAACAUUUCAAAGAAGUCCCUAGAACUGACCAGAUUCACUAGGUCCUGCCCUGCCAGAUUAAGCAAUAAUUCCUUAUAGUCCCACUCAGACAAGCCAAGCUGCAAAGAAAACUCUGAAACCAGACCAGCUCCCUGAAAUAGAUCUACCAUCGAGCUACCAGGAAGAGGUUUAGACCAACUGAGGCACCUGGAAAGGAGCUGCCUGCAGGCUGUGCAGUGUGCUCCAGGUUCCCAGCUUUGUGAGCUAUCACCCAUGCUGAGAGGUGGGCUUUGGUGAUGCAUCGGUCUUUGAGUCAUUUCUGCUCCUGUAAGUAAACCCUCAUUUAUUCUGGUAAGCAACCCCAAUAAAAUUAAUUGGUUGACCA